UCUGCCAGACAGCUGAAAGGUCCUUGGUUGUCUAAUUGCAUCCCUACCCUUCCAGUGCUCUAACAGCUGUGAAUCACCACUUGGGAAUUCUGGUCUUAACUUGGUUGUGACACAAGCCAGGGUCGGGUUACCUGGUAAAUCUGGAUCAUGGAACUCACCUGCAAUCUGGGAAGCUCUCUUUGCAGCAGAUGUGUUCCUGAAAUAGGCCAGGGUUCUGGGGGAACCGCAGUCUAUCUUGGCAACCUACACAUGGGACCAGGGAACAGAAAG